rnacentral:rRNA from 1 species
CUCGAGCUAAUACCGCAUAAGCCCUACGGGGGAAAGCGGGGGACCUUCGGGCCUCGUGCUAUUAGAUGAGCCUGCGUUGGAUUAGCUAGUUGGUGGGGUAAAGGCCUACCAAGGCGACGAUCCAUAGCUGGUCUGAGAGGAUGAUCAGCCACACCGGGACUGAGACACGGCCCGGACUCCUACGGGAGGCAGCAGUGGGGAAUAUUGCGCAAUGGGCGAAAGCCUGACGCAGCCAUGCCGCGUGUGUGAAGAAGGCCUUCGGGUUGUAAAGCACUUUCAAUUGGGAGGAAAGGUUCACGGUUAAUAACCGUGAGCUGUGACGUUACCUUAGAAGAAGCACCGGCUA